UACGGAGGGUGCGAGCGUUGUCCGGAAUCACUGGGCGUAAAGGGCGCGUAGGCGGCAGGCCAAGCGUGCGGUGAAAGUCCGGGGCUCAACCCCGGAUCUGCCGUGCGGACUGGUUUGCUAGAGCACUGUAGAGGCGAGUGGAAUUCCGGGUGUAGCGGUGGAAUGCGUAGAGAUCCGGAAGAACAUCAGUGGCGAAGGCGGCCUGCUGGGCUGUUGCUGACGCUGAGGCGCGACAGCGUGGGGAGCAAACAGGG
rnacentral:rRNA from 1 species